rnacentral:rRNA from 1 species
AGCAGCCGCGGUAAUUCCAGCUCCAAUAGCGUAUAUUAAAGUUGUUGCAGUUAAAAAGCUCGUAGUUGAAUUUCGGGGUUAGUAGGUUGGUCAUGCCUCUGGUAUGUACUGGUCUCACUGAUUCCUCCUUCCUUAUGAACCGUAAUGCCAUUAAUUUGGUGUUGCGGGAAAUUUGGACUGUUACUUUGAAAAAUUAGAGUGUUUAAAGCAAGCUAACGCUUGAAUACAUUAGCAUGGAAUAAUGAAAUAGGACGUUCGAUCUUAUUUUGUUGGUUUCUAGGAUUGACGUAAUGAUUAAUAGGGAUAGUUGGGGGCAUUAGUAUUCAAUUGUCAGAGGUGAAAUUCUUGGAUUUAUUGAAGACUAACUACUGCGAAAGCAUUUGCCAAGGAUGUUUUCAUUAAUCAAGAACGAAAGUUAGGGGAUCGAAGACGAUCAGAUACCGUCGUAGUCUUAACCAUAAACUAUGCCGACUAGGGAUCGGAUGAUGUUAAUUUUUUAAUGUACUCAUUCGGCGCCUUA